UCCGGUUUAUCACCGGCAGUCUCCUUUGAGUUCCCACCAUGACGUGCUGGCAACAAAGGAUAAGGGUUGCGCUCGUUGCGGGACUUAACCCAACAUUUCACAACACGAGCUGACGACAGCCAUGCAGCACCUGUCUCACGGUUCCCGAAGGCACUAAGCUAUCUCUAGCAAAUUCCGUGGAUGUCAAGAGUAGGUAAGGUUCUUCGCGUUGCAUCGAAUUAAACCACAUGCUCCGCCGCUUGUGCGGGCCCCCGUCAAUUUCUUUGAGUUUUAGCCUUGCGGCCGUACUCCCCAGGCGGGGUACUUAAUGCGUUAGCUACGGCACGGAUCCCAAGGAAGGAAACCCACACCUAGUACCCACCGUUUACGGCGUGGACUAC
rnacentral:misc_RNA from 1 species